ACAUAAUUUCUAAAAUAAUAAAAUGCAUUCGUAUUUAGUAUAUAUGUUACCAGAAAUAUUGACAAUUUAGGAAAUUACGACAAUUCCUAAGAAAUUAUGAUAUUUCCUAACAUCGGAAGGAAAUAAUAUCAAUGUCUAGGAACUGUCAUAAUUUUCAUAGUUUAUUAGGUAAUGUUAUCACGCAUCGCUUUAUACUAUUAUAUAGGUACAUUAUGUAUAUAUUGUAAAUAUAAGUGGUAAGUGUAAGUAUAUAAAAGCUUUGCACUUUCAAUGCUUGACCGUACAAAGUGAUUUUAUUUAGUUGAUCUACGAAAACAAAAUAUACUUAAUGCGCGUCAAUAAUCUGCCCACAGUUUAGAAAAACUGGCUCAAAAAAUUAUUGAAACAUGAAAUAGAAAAUAUGAUGAAACUACAGGAACUACAGUACGUCUGAGCAUUCCUGAUGUAGAUCACUCGUGGAUCAACAAGAAAUGUGUAUUAGCGGUUAUAACAGAAGUUAAACAAAAUGUAUACAAGCUAUGCACUGAAAGUGGAUUUUUAAAACAUAAUAUGUACACGAGAUCGAAAUUAAAUCCUUAUAAAGCAAAUUUAUUGGAUCUAACUACUAUUUUAGAAUCGGUACGUCACGCAGAAAAACAAAUAUCACUUCAGGAGGCAACUACUCUAAAUAGUAUUUCAGAGGCACAAGGAUAUGUCCGCUGUCAACAUAAGACAAAAUUCAAGACAAACAGGUGUGCUUGCAGAUCUGAUCUAAAAUUUGCAAUUCUAAAUGUCAUGGAAGUUUGCCAAGUGAUAACAAAAAUGAGUAAAAAUGUAAAAAAGCUUAAAUUGCACAAAUUAAAGCGAUAAAAAAAAUGUUUGA